UGGUAUGUGUUCUUUUAUAUUGUGCAAUUCGUAGUUAUAAAUAAUGUCCUUAUUUUUAGCUUUCGAAAUUAGUAAUUCUUUUUAUUUUUGGUGACUUCGGUUUUCUGUAAAUUGGAUCCGGUCAGUUGCGAUGUCAUUGAAUGGGAGGUUUUCCAUUCACCACUUUGUCUGUGGCUUUUGCCAUUUGAUUUUUCGCUUGAUCACUGGGAUAUUCCGUGACAAGAUGUAAGACGUAAUUUCGACAUCAGGUCGGCAAUUAAUUCAUGGGGUAUGUAUUUUAUUUAAAGAUUGUAUUUCCUAAAACUCGGUUAAAUUCGGUGUUCAAUGUUUUAAUCGUUGAUAUAUUUUGUUCCAGCUUGGCCCAAAAUAUGAUUAACCUGGCUUCCUAUGCGCCGGUAAUGGCGGCAUAACCUUUUCACCUCUUUCAAACCAACUUGGUGAGUUGUCCACACUUUCUAAAUAUACGGAAGGAAAGGCGAAGUUGUUUAUUGUCAAUUGCAAUUAGCUAAUGUCGUGUUUUGGUGUGAUUUUCCAGCAAUCCCUUGACAAAGAUGAGACAUCAUUUUGUUUCACCGCGUGCGCAUACGUCGCCACGUCUGGUGUCUAAUAUAAGGGACUCGGCUUAGAAACCGGGUCCUUUUGGCUAGGCCUGUCCUUUGGCUAGGCCUACUUCUUGGCUUGGCCUGUCCCUUGGCUUGCCUUCUUCAUCUUCUUGGCCCUAUGGCUUUUGGAAGAUCUAGGGUGGUGUCGCACCAUGCUAGAGGGGAAGCCGUCUUCUCCACUUAAUUUUUGGACUCGAGGUGAAGUGUUUAUUCGAUAAAGCUGUGAGUUAAAAACUUAUAUUUACAUUAGUGACUGUGUUCCUUUGCUGGAAAGGAUAAACAAUAUUUAAGUCUGAAUUUCUUUUUAACGUGAACUUUCUACAUGGUAAAUUCUAUUAUUAAUAUGAAACCUGCAAUUCCUAUGUAGGAUUUUGUGUGUAUUACAGGCCCAAAUAUGCCUGAGAUGUACUUAAGUUAAAUUUAAUUAGUAAUAGUUACGGUACGUAAUUUAAAUGUUAAGUCUCGAGGCCGCAGCAGGUCUUAUUGUGAUGUAAAGUGAAUAAAAGUAUUUAGUAAAUAAA